GGAGAAUUACCACUUCCUCUGUCAACCGGAACUCCGCAUGCGGUUCCCUCCCCCUCCAAAUAGGAGCUCCGGCUCACCAAGGUGCUUUAUCCAUGUCUUGGAGGUUUCCAAAGUACAAAGCUGCUUCCAGAAAGAAACAAGAAAAACUUCACUGGCCAGAGCAAGAGCUCUCAAAAAAGACAGUCUUGAGUCCUGAAGAACACAAAUCCAUUCUCAAGAAUGAAAGCAGCAGCAUUCAGCGCCUACCCCAGUCAGGAAUCCUUAAGGACACAUUCACCACAGGCACAAGCAGCUACAAUGUCCUACUGCAGAGCAAAGAGGAAAAAAAGCACAUUUUCCAAAAGCAUUCACCAGCCUAUCACAGAAGGCACCGAAAGUCUACAAAAAAACCCAAUGCUUCACGAAGCAGCGAGCGCCCAAAGAUUAAGGCCCCACUGCCUUUGCUCAGAAACGGGUGGUGCUGCCUCAAUAGGCAGCCCUCCCUCUUUAUCACCAGCCCAGUAUCCAACAGUGUCAAGUUAGCGCGCAGUAUUUCCGUGGCAGGGAGCAGCAUAGGAUUGUCAGCUCAGCCCAAAACCAAGGCAAAAAGGCAUUCCGUCUCCAGCCUAACAAAGCCAAAGCAGUUGCAGAUAUCCAAAAGCUAUUUAAAAGACGGUGAUGUCACCGGGCGAAAAUUCUGCAUCCUCACUGCCAUCAAGCCUUCCAACGUGGAGAGGGAGAAGAUGAAGUUCUUCAAGUCAGACUUUACCUACAACCCGCAGUUUGAAUAUGCAAGUUCUGUACUGUCAAAUGUGAUAGCAAAAUACAGCCAGGCAUCCAACACAUUUCUUAAGCAGGCCAUCAAGAUUAUGGAUUUGACUUUGCAAAAAUAUGGAAGCUAUGAAAACUUUGAGCAGGCCACCGGAGGUAGUCUCCUGCCCAGAAGUCGCAUCUGGAACCAUGUCAGAAAAUAUAUGGUGAAAGAAGGCUGCCUAGGCGAGAUUGUGGUUCAUCUCUCUGAAGACUUGCUUUCUCGAGCCUCAAUGACAGUGGUGAAUGGCCGCCCAACGCUUUCUAUCAAUAUUUCCACAGCACGUGAGCAUUGGCUGGAAGGGAUGCUGAGGCAUGAAAUAGGAACUCAUUAUCUUAGAGGUAUUAAUAACAACAGCCAGCAGUGGAGCACCUGGAAUGGGCGUAGAAAGCAUGGGUUAAAACCCAUUAACCCCACUGAGGAAGGCCUGGCAAGUAUUCACAGUGUUCUCUUUCGGAAAGAUCCCUUCUUGUGGAGAGCUGCCCUACUCUAUUACACUGUCUACCAAGCUAGCCAAAUGUCCUUCAGAGAACUCUUUCAGGACAUUGGGAAGUUUGUCACGGAUCCCAAUACUAGGUGGGACUAUUGUGUUCGAGCCAAGAGAGGCUGGGCUGAUACUUCUGUACCAGGUUGCUUCAGCAAAGAUCAGGUUUACUUAGACGGCAUCCUCCGGAUUCUGAGAUACCGACAUUCCAUUGAUUUCUACCUGCUGACAGCUCUAGGAAAGGUCUCCUAUGAGGAUGUGGAUCGCCUGAAAGAUUUAGGAAUGAUUGAGAACAUGAGGGUGCCACACUUUUUGCAAGACCGCACCCGAUACAUGGAACACCUGGAGAAGAUCAUGGAAGUCAAUGAGCUGUCUGACACAGAGCUUAAGGCUCUUGUGCCCUAACCAGCCAUUGUUUUUCUGCUUGCUGUCUGGUUUGUUUAUACCAGACUGGAACACAGUGAGUCCUAACUCACAGAAGUGGAUUAACUAUUUUUGAUGCCUGGCAAAAUCUGUAUUCUUUAGAUCUGCUUCUUUUGUUUUUAAGAAAGAAAAACCACAGCUACAAUCCAGAAGUUGUUUACUUUCAAAGACAAAAUGCUGAUUUCCACCCUUCUCUCAAGAGCUUGACACAUCAUGGCUCUCAAUAUGUUGUUUUUGUUUUUGAGGACCAAUGCCUACAAUGUGAUCUGCUACGGUAAGACUUCCAAGAGUCAAGGAAAUCGGUGUUUUUUAGCUGUAGAAAUUGGAAGACUGCCUCAGAUUACUAGAAGCCACAGGAAGCCUGGGUACAUGUCAUGCAAUCAUGGUCACAGAUUAUGCUCUUUAGAUAACAUACCCUGAAAAAGUUUUGUUGGAAUCUGUUGGAAUGUUCCAAAAUUAGUUGGUGUGAAGAUUAAGGGGGGGAGGAGUUCACAGGACAGUUACAAUGGUACGGCCCUAUUGAUGUCAGUGGAGUAAUUUGUCACAUGUGUAUUUCAGUGACAGUGAAAGUUAUGUGAAAUGGUAGUCAGUAAAAGGUUUUCUCCCAGUGUUCAUAAAAUUCUAUUGGGCUGUUUCAUAACAGGAUAGAUUUUUAUUUUAUUUUUAAAGGCAUUUUCCCUUUUGAGCAUGUCUGUUCAGAGAAAUGCAAGAGCAAACAGGGUAGGAGAAUAUAUAGGACUGGAUUUUCUGAGUUUAAGAUGCAGAGAUCCCAGAACCUUAAAAUAUUUUGGAGCAAAAGACCUGUUUACUGUAUUAAGAAAAUUCUUCAUUAACCAAUUGUCCAUCUAGGAAAUCUACAGGCAUAUAAAAAUACGUGUAAAGGUCAUAUACACCUGCCUUUCUUAAUUCAUACAAAGCUUUAUCCAGUAGUGGCACAACCUUCCAUAGUAAUGAGCUUCCUACCUGCAAGUACAUUGACUGUGGUUUUACCACUUCUUCACCUCACGGUACACCUCGUAGAUGUAUUGCCCAACUCUACCUAUUCUGCCUUCCAUUCAUCACACCAUCACUCCUCCCUGUUUGUUUGUUUUUUUUUUUUUUUCAAUAAUUUUUAUUCAGAUUUUCAUAAAACAUAC